CCUACGGGAGGCAGCAGUGGGGAAUUUUCCGCAAUGGGCGCAAGCCUGACGGAGCAAGACCGCGUGGGGGACGAAGGUUUGUGGAUUGUAAACCCCUUUUGAUUGGGAAGAUGAUGACGGUACCAAUCGAGUCAGCAUCGGCUAACUCCGUGCCAGCAGCCGCGGUAAUACGGAGGAUGCAAGCGUUAUCCGGAGUUAUUGGGCGUAAAGCGUCCGCAGGUGGUUAAUCAAGUCUAUUGUUAAAGCGCGGAGCUAAACUUCGUAAGGGCGAUAGAAACUGGUUAACUAGAGUUUGGUAGGGGUAGAGGGAAUUCCCAGUGUAGCGGUGAAAUGCGUAGAUAUUGGGAAGAACACCGGUGGCGAAAGCGCUCUACUGGGCCUGAACUGACACUGAGGGACGAGAGCUAGGGGAGCGAAAGGGAUUAGAUACACCUGUAGUC
rnacentral:rRNA from 1 species